GACAGAGGUGCCGAGCGUUAGGCGGAAUCACUGGGCUUAAAGCGCGUGUAGGUGGCGGCCUAAGUACCUUGUGAAAUCCUGCGGCUCAACCGCAGAACUGCUUGGUAUACUGGGUCGCUUGAGACAUUCAGGGGCAACUGGAACAAGCGGUGGAGCGGUGAAAUGCGUAGAUAUCGCUUGGAACGCCAAAGGUGAAAACAGGUUGCUGGGGAUGUUGCUGACACUGAGACGCGAAAGCCAGGGGAGCGAACGGG
rnacentral:rRNA from 1 species